rnacentral:miRNA from 1 species
ACCAGGUGUAACAACAACUCCAUGUGGACCGAACACCGAGGUCCAGUGGAGCCGCUGUUACCUUUGGU